rnacentral:lncRNA from 1 species
AGAUAGUGCCACUACACUCCAGCCUGGGUGACAGAGCAAGAGUCCAUCUCCAAAGCAAUUAAGAAAUUACUUUUAGAGUUCCACUUGUGUACUUCUCUUUAGGAUAUGAAAAUCAGUAAGAGAAAGCUAUUCCCAUCCUAGCAAUGGUAAAAGGCCAGGAAAUCUCAAACAUGGUAAGUUUUCUUGAACUCAGAGAUCUGAGAUGACCACACAGUCAAGUGAAUUCCAAAGAGCCACUCCAAGGAGAGACAGAUCCUGAAAAUUCUCUCAGCUUUGGCAAAGCAUAGGAGAAAGAGGAGGCUGCCAUAAAAACCAGAUAAUAAGAAAUCAUGUAAGAGUUUAAAAAAUUCUUAAAGGCCUAGUAUAGGCCUUUACAUUACUUUAAAAUCACCUGGGGUUCCAGAUACAAGGGGCACAUUUUUAAGUUCUUUUCCACAGAUUUCCACUGGGUCCUCACAAAAAAUUAGGAACAAAGAAGGAAACUUGGUGGUACAGGUAUGCAAGCGACGAUCAGCUGUCACUGGGAGACAAGGAUGAAGCCCUUCUGCUCCCCCAAACCCUUCUCUUACAUGAAACAAAUGCUUUAUGUUCCUAGGUGUACACGCUAAAAACCUUCUCAUCCCCAGGUCCAGAAAGAGAUCUAUUGUCUCUGAGAGACGGGCAAAAGUAAAAACUCUUCUGCCUCUGGGGAGAGGGUAGGAAAACUUGUGCUCAGAAUCCUGCACCAAUACUAGUCAGAGGUCUCUGCUACCAGGGAAAGUUUAAGACCCUGGAGAUAGAACUGUAUUUUGUGUUACAGACUUGCAGUCACUACUGAAAACUGAGGGAGAAACAGGAACACUUAAAAACCUCUCCAGUACCCUUCCCCAGUUCCAGUACCCAGUAAAAAUAUGCCACUGCUGGGGGAAUUUGAGGCCUGUGGUACACUGAAGGUUAAAACAGAAACAGUAAAACCCAAACCCAGAUCACCGCUUGACUAGGUUAACUUAACCUUCCACACUAAUUGCCCCAAAAAAGGGUUGUACCCAUUUCUAGGCAUAAAUACAAUUGACCUGAAUAUCUACUGUUCUUAUCCACAUAUUAUUCAGCAUUCAAUAAAAAUUUAUGAGAUCUACAAAAAACAGGAAAACCCAAACCAUUGUCAAGAGAUAAAGCAAUCAGCUGAACCAAAGUCAGAGAUGAACCAGAGAUUGGAACUAUCAGACAGGGUGUUUAAAACAACCAUGUCUAAUAUGUUAAAUGAUCUAAUGAAAAAGAUAAACAAUUACAUAAACAGAUGGGGAAUUUCAGAGAACUAAAAACUAUUUUAAAAGAGUCAAAGAGAAAUGCUAAAAAAAAAAAAAAAA